rnacentral:misc_RNA from 1 species
GCCGAGUCCACCGAAUCGGACAGGAGAAGAAGACACUCGUCCACCGCUUCAUGGUGAAGAGCACUGUAGAAGAAAGCAUCUACAAACUCAACCAGAGCCGAACAGUGAGUUGCAUCACGGCUACCAAAUCGAAACAUCAGGACCGUCCUGUGCUCACAAUACAAGAUGUCGAAUCUCUAUUUGCUUCAGUGAAGCCGAGUGAGCUUCCGG